rnacentral:rRNA from 1 species
CCUACGGGAGGCAGCAGUGGGGAAUAUUGGACAAUGGGCGCAAGCCUGAUCCAGCCAUACCGCGUGGGUGAAGAAGGCCUUCGGGUUGUAAAGCCCUUUUGUUGGGAAAGAAAAGCAGUCGGCUAAUACCCGGUUGUUCUGACGGUACCCAGAGAAUAAGCACCGGCUAACUUCGUGCCAGCAGCCGCGGUAAU